UACGGGGGGAGCAAGCGUUGUUCGGAUUUACUGGGCGUAAAGGGCGCGUAGGCGGCCACCGCAAGUCGACUGUGAAAUCUCCGGGCUUAACCCGGAAAGGUCAGCCGAUACUGCGGGGCUAGAGUGCAGAAGGGGCAACUGGAAUUCUCGGUGUAGCGGUGAAAUGCGUAGAUAUCGAGAGGAACACCUGCGGCGAAGGCGGCUCUCUGGGACGGUACUGACGCUGAGACGCGAAAGCGUGGGGAGCGAACAGG
rnacentral:rRNA from 1 species